AUGCAAGUCGAGCGGACAGAUGGGAGCUUGCUCCCUGAUGUUAGCGGCGGACGGGUGAGUAACACGUGGGUAACCUGCCUGUAAGACUGGGAUAACUCCGGGAAACCGGGGCUAAUACCGGAUGGUUGUUUGAACCGCAUGGUUCAGACAUAAAAGGUGGCUUCGGCUACCACUUACAGAUGGACCCGCGGCGCAUUAGCUAGUUGGUGAGGUAACGGCUCACCAAGGCGACGAUGCGUAGCCGACCUGAGAGGGUGAUCGGCCACACUGGGACUGAGACACGGCCCAGACUCCUACGGGAGGCAGCAGUAGGGAAUCUUCCGCAAUGGACGAAAGUCUGACGGAGCAACGCCGCGUGAGUGAUGAAGGUUUUCGGAUCGUAAAGCUCUGUUGUUAGGGAAGAACAAGUGCCGUUCAAAUAGGGCGGCACCUUGACGGUACCUAACCAGAAAGCCACGGCUAACUACGUGCCAGCAGCCGCGGUAAUACGUAGGUGGCAAGCGUUGUCCGGAAUUAUUGGGCGUAAAGGGCUCGCAGGCGGUUUCUUAAGUCUGAUGUGAAAGCCCCCGGCUCAACCGGGGAGGGUCAUUGGAAACUGGGGAACUUGAGUGCAGAAGAGGAGAGUGGAAUUCCACGUGUAGCGGUGAAAUGCGUAAAGAUGUGGAGGAACACCAGUGGCGAAUGCGACUCUCUGGUCUGUAACUGACGCUGAGGAGCGA
rnacentral:rRNA from 1 species